rnacentral:rRNA from 1 species
CAGUCGCCGCGGUAAUACGAAGGGGGCUAGCGUUGCUCGGAAUUACUGGGCGUAAAGGGCGCGUAGGCGGACAGCUUAGUCAGAGGUGAAAGCCCAGGGCUCAGCCUUGGAACUGCCUUUGAUACUGGCUGUCUUGAGUUCGGGAGAGGUGAGUGGAAUGCCGAGUGUAGAGGUGAAAUUCGUAGAUAUUCGGCGGAACACCAGUGGCGAAGGCGGCUUACUGGCUCGAAACUGACGCUGAGGCGCGAAAGCGUGGGGAGCAAACAGGAUUAGAUACCCCGGUAGUCCCUGUCUCUUAUAC